GGAGUUUUAGCUCAGUGGUAGAGCACUCGCCUUUUACGUGUAAGGCACUGGGUUCAAUCCUCAGCACCA
rnacentral:tRNA from 1 species